UAUUUAUUAGAUAACAGACCAAUAUUCCUCGUGUCUAUUGUGGUGACUCAUAGUAACUGAUCGGAUCGCAUGGCCUUGUGCCGCGACUAACCAUUCAAGUUUCUGACCCAUCAGCUUUCGAUGGUAGUGUAUUGGACUACCAUGGCUUUCACGGGUAACGGAGGAUUAGGGUUCGAUUCCGGAGAGGGAGCCUGAGAAACGGCUACCACAUCUAAGGAAGGCAGCAGGCGCGUAAAUUACCCAAUCCUGACUCAGGGAGGUAGUGACAAGAAAUAACGGGUCGGGGCAUUCGCCUCGGGAUUGCAAUGAAUCGAAUUUACACCCCUUAACGAGGAACAAUUGGAGGGCAAGUCUGGUGCCAGCAGCCGCGGUAAUUCCAGCUCCAAUAGCGUAUAUUAAAGUUGAUGCCGUUAAAAAGCUCGUAGUUGAACCUUGGACCUGGCUGAUCUGUCCUCCUAAUCGAGCGCACGGAUUCGGUCGGGUCUUUCCUUCUGGGGAGCCCUAUGCCCUUCACUGGGUGUAGUGGGGAACCAGGACUUUUACCUUGAAAAAAUUAGAGUGUUCAAAGCAGGCCUU
rnacentral:rRNA from 1 species